CCUACGGGCGGCAGCAGUGGGGAAUAUUGGACAAUGGGGGGAACCCUGAUCCAGCCAUGCCGCGUGUGUGAAGAAGGCCCUCGGGCUGUAAAGCACUUUCAGUGAGGAAGAACGCCUGGUGGUUAAUACCCAUCAGGAAAGACAUCACUCACAGAAGAAGCACCGGCUAACUCCGUGCCAGCAGCCGCGGUAAUACGGAGGGUGCGAGCGUUAAUCGGAAUUACUGGGCGUAAAGCGCGCGUAGGUGGCUUGAUAAGCCGGUUGUGAAAGCCCCGGGCUCAACCUGGGAACGGCAUCCGGAACUGUCAAGCUAGAGUGCAGGAGAGGAAGGUAGAAUUCCCGGUGUAGCGGUGAAAUGCGUAGAGAUCGGGAGGAAUACCAGUGGCGAAGGCGGCCUUCUGGACUGACACUGACACUGAGGUGCGAAAGCGUGGGUAGCAAACAGGAUUAGAUACCCGUGUAGUC
rnacentral:rRNA from 1 species